UGGGACUACAGGCAUGAGCCAUCACACCCAGCUAGUUUUUUGUAUUUUUAGUAGAGACAGGGUUUUGCCAUGUUGGCCAGGCUGAUCUCGAAGUCCUGACCUCAAGUGGUCUGCCCGCCUCUGUUCCCCAAAGUGCUGGGAUUCCAGGUGUGAGCCACCAUGGCCGACCACAUUUGAUGUUUGAAGUUGUAAUCUGUCCCAUCAUAAACUUACCUGGAGCUCAUGUGGAGGAACAGAAGGCCAAGGUCCUUGCUUUGGGAGUGCCUCACAAAGCAUCCCUGUAGACACAUGGCCCCAGCUUCACUGCUUGGAAGCAUGUCUCUCCCUCCUGAGUUGGCUCUGAUUUGAAACCAGGAGAAACAGAGCUGCUGCCAAUGGGAUCUUUUAGGUAACCCCCUCCCCAGCUUCCCUGUGGCUGUGUAGUGUCCAUGACAGAUGGCUGCCAAUGGGAUCUUUUAGGUAACCCCUCCCCAGCUUCCCUGUGUCUGUGUGGAUGUCCUCUCACCCACCCUGUGCUGGUGUCUAAAAAAUUUAUCUUGUCAUGCUCAAAUGUGUUUGGCAGCCACACUGAUCGGCUGGGUGCUGAACCACCGCUCUGUAAUUGUAGCAUCAAAAUGACAACAGCAGCAGAGCGGCAAAUCUUGCCCAGCCCCACAGCAUGCCUGAGACAAGACUCCAACAAGUAAUAAUUAACUUUUUUCUCCUGCCGCCUACAGUACCUGUCUAACUAAAGAGCUUCCCAAAGUGGAGGGAAAGGCCAUAGAGAGAAUCCAGGUGUUAUUCAGAGUCAGUCCUUGCUGAAAUGUGGUCUUCCAGUGGAAGCACCUGUAUUCUUGGGAGGAAAAAGUGCUGGAUGCAAAGUAACACCAGGACCAGAGAGAAAGAGGAAGGUGAACUAUCCUAAGGAGCUUUGGAUACUUUUUUAGAAGGAUAAAUAUUGUGCUUACUGAGGAGAAAAAAAAAAAAACCAAUCACAGAAAAAUUUCACAGCUAAUAUUUUUACAAAAGUUGUGCCGGAGAUUACAAAACGUCUCUCAAGGUGGAAUGCUUUAGAGAACAAAGGCUUAGCACAGGCCCAGACCCUUGUGUGGGUAUGACAUGAUGUGACAUGUACAUGUCAAAAUUUGCUUUAGUAUAGUCAGAACCAGAGUACUGAUAAACAAAAUGUUAGUUACCUGGAGCAGUCCUGGAGAGGCUAAGACAUCCUACACUGUUGUACAUCAACCAUUUCUACAAAGUUAUCCAGACACCUAAAAGCAGCUUUCUUGGUUAUCCAGAUCCAGUUUCUUGGUUAUGCCAGAAUCAGCCUUGUAUCUGACAAUGCACAUCUGUUGAUUUUAAAGUAUAUUUGUGUGUGUGUAUAUACAGCACAUAUUUACAUCUAUGAAGACACAGACACUCAUAGAGACCCACAUGAGCUGCCACUUGCUGAGCCUUUACAGCCUUUAAGACUUGGAGGUUGAGAAUUAGAGACAGAAGAGAGGCUGUUGAUGGCCCAUUAAAAUGAUCAAAGAUGUAAAUUCAGUGCCAUUUAAAAACUGUUCAUACUUAUCAAAUGAUUAUCUGCAGCUACAUUCUUUGUUAACUUAUUUAAAGUCAUGUUGCAAAAAAGGUCAAACCCAUGAAUGCUUAGUAGCUAAGGCUAGUGUUCAGAAGCACUCUAAAAGACAUUUUGUCCACAUUUUGGAAAAGAAAAUAUUUGCAUGUUUAAUCAUAAUUUAGACUACCUUUGAGUAUACUGUAAAGUGCUGUGUGAUAUAAUAUCAAUAAAGUACUUAUUAAAUG
rnacentral:lncRNA from 1 species